rnacentral:rRNA from 1 species
GACGAACGCUGGCGGCGUGCCUAAUACAUGCAAGUCGAGCGAGCUUGCCUAGAUGAAUUUGGUGCUUGCACCAAAUGAAACCAGAUACAAGCGAGCGGCGGACGGGUGAGUAACACGUGGGUAACCUGCCCAAGAGACUGGGAUAACACCUGGAAACAGAUGCUAAUACCGGAUAACAACACUAGACGCAUGUCUAGAGUUUAAAAGAUGGUUCUGCUAUCACUCUUGGAUGGACCUGCGGUGCAUUAGCUAGUUGGUAAGGUGACGGCUUACCAAGGCAAUGAUGCAUAGCCGAGUUGAGAGACUGAUCGGCCACAUUGGGACUGAGACACGGCCCAAACUCCUACGGGAGGCAGCAGUAGGGAAUCUUCCACAAUGGACGCAAGUCUGAUGGAGCAACGCCGCGUGAGUGAAGAAGGGUUUCGGCUCGUAAAGCUCUGUUGGUAGUGAAGAAAGAUAGAGGUAGUAACUGGCCUUUAUUUGACGGUAAUUACUUAGAAAGUCACGGCUAACUACGUGCCAGCAGCCGCGGUAAUACGUAGGUGGCAAGCGUUGUCCGGAUUUAUUGGGCGUAAAGCGAGUGCAGGCGGUUCAAUAAGUCUGAUGUGAAAGCCUUCGGCUCAACCGGAGAAUUGCAUCAGAAACUGUUGAACUUGAGUGCAGAAGAGGAGAGUGGAACUCCAUGUGUAGCGGUGGAAUGCGUAGAUAUAUGGAAGAACACCAGUGGCGAAGGCGGCUCUCUGGUCUGCAACUGACGCUGAGGCUCGAAAGCAUGGGUAGCGAACAGG